rnacentral:rRNA from 1 species
CUAUGCGCCUUGCCAGCCCGCUCAGGUGUGCCAGCAGCCGCGGUAAUACGUAGGUGGCGAGCGUUGUCCGGAUUUACUGGGCGUAAAGGGAGCGUAGGCGGACUUUUUAAGUGAGAUGUGAAAUACUCGGGCUCAACUUGAGUGCUGCAUUUCAAACUGGAAGUCUAGAGUGCAGGAGAGGAGAAUGGAAUUCCUAGUGUAGCGGUGAAAUGCGUAGAGAUUAGGAAGAACACCAGUGGCGAAGGCGAUUCUCUGGACUGUAACUGACGCUGAGGCUCGAAAGCGUGGGGAGCAAACAGG